rnacentral:rRNA from 1 species
UACGUAGGGUGCGAGCGUUUGUCCGGAAUUACUGGGCGUAAAGAGCUUGUAGGUGGUUUGUCGCGUUGUUCGUGAAAUCUCACGGCUUAACUGUGAGCGUGCGGGCGAUACGGGCAGACUAGAGUACUGCAGGGGAGACUGGAAUUCCUGGUGUAGCGGUGGAAUGCGCAGAUAUCAGGAGGAACACCGGUGGCGAAGGCGGGUCUCUGGGCAGUAACUGACGCUGAGAAGCGAAAGCGUGGGGGAGCGAACAGG